rnacentral:rRNA from 1 species
AACGCGAAGAACCUUACCUGGGUUUGACAUGCACAGGACGCGUCUAGAGAUAGGCGUUCCCUUGUGGCCUGUGUGCAGGUGGUGCAUGGCUGUCGUCAGCUCGUGUCGUGAGAUGUUGGGUUAAGUCCCGCAACGAGCGCAACCCUUGUCUCAUGUUGCCAGCGGGUAAUGCCGGGGACUCGUGAGAGACUGCCGGGGUCAACUCGGAGGAAGGUGGGGAUGACGUCAAGUCAUCAUGCCCCUUAUGUCCAGGGCUUCACACAUGCUACAAUGGCCGGUACAAAGGGCUGCGAUGCCGUAAGGUUAAGCGAAUCCUUUUAAAGCCGGUCUCAGUUCGGAUCGGGGUCUGCAACUCGACCCCGUGAAGUCGGAGUCGCUAGUAAUCGCAGAUCAGCAACGCUGCGGUGAAUACGUUCCCGGGCCUUGUA